rnacentral:miRNA from 1 species
AGAAGAUUGCAGAGUAAGUUCC